GCCCGAGUGGCGGAAUUGGUAGACGCGCACGACUCAAAAUCGUGUUCCUCUGGAGUGAGAGUUCAAUUCUCUCCUCGGGCA
rnacentral:tRNA from 1 species